rnacentral:misc_RNA from 1 species
GAUGAAGAACGUAGCGAAAUGCGAUAAGUAAUGUGAAUUGCAGAAUUCAGUGAAUCAUCGAAUCUUUGAACGCACCUUGCGCUCCUUGGUAUUCCGAGGAGCAUGCCUGUUUGAGUGUCAUUAAAUUCUCAACCUCACCAGUUUUGUAACGAGACAGGUGAAGGCUUGGAUGUGGGGGUUUUGCAGGCUGCCUCAGUGCUGGUCUGCUCUCCUGAAAUGCAUUAGCGAGCUCAUAUUGAGCUUCCGUCUAUUGGUGUGAUAAUUAUCUACGCCGUGGAUUGGACUCAUGCUUGCUUCUAGCCGUCCGCAAGGACAAUUUACUUGACCAAUUUGACCUCAAAUCAGGUAGGACUACCCGCUGAACUUAAGCAUAUCAAUAAGCGGAGA